UCCGGUAUGGUGUAACGGUCAACAUUACCGCUUUUCAAGAAUUUCGCACGGUUGUCAACUGUACGCGGUAGCUCGGGGUUCGAUUCCCCGUACCGGAA